UGUUUUCUACUCGUCCGACGGGGGCCCACUUUUUAUUAGAGCUACUUUCCCCCCUCCCGGGUGGUCAAAGUACAGUGUGUUUGAUUGCUCCAGCUUCAGCCUAUCGGUGGCGUCAAGAUAAUCAACUGCCCGCCGCCUUUAAGACCCUCUUUUGCGGAAAGAUGCACAGUCAUCUUCAGCGCGGCACUCGUCAGUGAUACAAACCCGCGGCCAGUGUGAAGAAGGAACUGCUGCUGCUGCUGUACUGCGUCAAGUGUUCUCGGUCGUCGCCCGUUUGAGGAAAGAGCAGCUAGAAGAAAGAAGAAAAGGGCACAAGAAAUUCUAUCACCUCGAGUGCGAUUGAAUCAUCCUCUAAUCAGCGAUGGCCAAAUCAAAGUCUAACGAUGGCUAUCAGCGCGGCGUUUACGGUGCACUCCGUACGCUGAUGCACUUCAUCGUGGCGGUACAGUUCUCGUACGGCAUUUACUACGAUUUUACGUACGUCCACUUUCCACCCGGCAUGCUGCGACCGGGCGGAGAGUUUGGUGGCAAGCUGAAGUUUCUCACCGUAUGGGAUGCGAUUCUACAAGCAGUUUACUUCACCAUUUGUCUGCUGAAUGAUUUCAUCGGUACCAACGAGGUCGCCCCGAAGCGGAUGCCACUCAUCCGCAAGCUGAAGGACUACAUGCUGGCUGCGUUCGCUUUCCCGGUGGCGCUCAAUGUCGGUGUUACCUUCUGGACGCUUAUGGCGAUCGACCGCGAGCUCGUCUUCCCGAAGGCACUGGAUGCCGUAUUUCCUGGCUGGCUCAAUCACGUCAUGCAUACCAACAUCGUGAUCUUCAUGGUGAUCGAGAUUUGCACCAGCUUCCGGCAGUAUCCGUCGCGCAAGGCCGGCCUUACCGGGCUGGGCAUCUUUAUGGCCUCGUACCUCGGCUGGCUGCACGUGGUGCGCCACUUUGGCGGCAUCUGGGUGUACCCGGUGCUGGACGUGCUGAAUCUACCCCAGCGCAUCCUGUUCUUCGCCGUCAGUCUCGGCUUUUGCGUCGGCCUGUACCUGCUGGGCGAGUUCUUUAACAAUCUGAUCUGGACCAAGGAGCUGAAGCAGCUGCGGGCGGCCACAGCCGGCGGCGCUAGUAAGAAGACCAAGUAGACGACGAACCUCGACAGCCGUGCCCCGGUGCCGAGUGACCGCGUUUUAUCCUAUUUCUUUUUUCGUUGGCCUUUUUUGCAUGCAACCAAGGGGGAGAGGGGGCACCAAUGUACUGUCCCUUCCCAAAUGCGUACAAAACAGCUGCAUCGGAAGGGCGAGAGUGUGCAUUUUUAUUUAAUUUAAUACAAACAUCUUGUGAUCGUGUAGCGUUCGUCCCAUGGGAGUUGUGAGUUUGUUGUUUUGCUUUUACUACCAUCACCACCAUCACUUACAUCCGGCAACCGAUUUGGGAUGGUGUGCUCGUAUGUUCCAUUUUUUUGUGCAUUUAAAUUUUUAAACCAUUGAAAGCGGAUAAGCAGAAGCGCAAGCAUUUACGGCUUCAAAACAAGUGCGACUACUAACCAGCGUGUCAUGGGAACACCCACGUGCGUGUGUUUGUUUGAGGGUUGUUUUUUGUUUUGUUUUUGUCCAGUCCCGUGUUCGUCUCGAGAAGUGAUACAUGCAUGCAUUUCGUGUUGUCUCAACCGAUGGUGCUUGAUGAGGCAUCCACCAAACUCGAUACGAUUAAUAUUGUGUAACGCGACGAGAGAGUGGUAGAGGGACACACCCAUCCACACACGAGCAAGAUUCUUUCUGUGCAGCAUCGCUAAGCGUCAAUAAGGGUAUAGCAACAUAGCAAUUAAGCAACAAACACACACACAGAUAAAUAAGCGCAUUUGCAUUUACAACUAGUAUAAUUGUAUUUAAAAUGAGGCAAACCUGAGAACUUGAGAGCUUGGGGUGAAUUCUGGUGGCAGUCGACCAAACCAAAGUAGUAGGUACUUCUAGUACAGUGUGUGUGUGUAACUCAUCCUCAUUCAUUAAGCGUUGUAUUUUGCAGCCAUCCUUUUGCUUGCAUUCGAUGUGUGUUGGUUUUUGUCAUGUACCAUGUCGUAGGCGUUUAUAUGCAUUUAAAGGCAAAUUUUCACUGUUAUAUGCACCCAACACCACCCAGAAGGGAGAGAAACCGCUAUUGAGGUAUAGCUCGUUUAGCAAUUUUUUGACGAAUUUAGAUGUGAAUAAAUUUAGCACUCGUUUUUGUGUGUUUGUGUAUGUAAUACCGAAUAGGGAACGGAAAUAUACUUGCAAAAUUAUAUAAAGCUACACGAAUUAAAAAGACAAGCAAAUUGAACUCAAACUCAUCCAACUACUUCCAUUCUGCGAUUCUGUAAUAUUUGGAAUGUUUGGGGCGGCGCAAAAACGAGCGCAUGAUCUAUCUAAUAUGCGAAAAAAUGGUGAACAUUAUUUACAAUCACGUCAUGCUAUAGCAGAAACGGUGGGCGGUAAACGUACGAAUCCACCCCGGCAAUUGGGCAAAACAUUCUAUUUCGGCCACCUAUAUUUCGUUCUCAUCAUCAUUACCCGCUGUGUAGCAUCUAUUUAAAUGUUGUCGUGAAUGUCAUUGUCAUUGCUGUACGGGUAAUAUCUCGGCCCUUUCGCCAGCACAGCACAUACCGUAGAUAGAGCAAUACCGUAAAAAAGGAAAAGGAAAUUAGAAUAUUAAAAUGGGACAAAUAUUCAAAUUUUGUGCAAAACCCUCUUCCGCGUUUGGUGAGCAAACGAGCGGCGGGGGCAAGAGCAACCAAAAAACUAGCGUUUAGUAGGAUGAUGGUGCGGUGUCAUUUUACAACAUUCAUUCGACUUGCUUAUUAUAUAAAUGAAAAUACAAUAAAAGUACUGGAAAAUCA